AGCGAACGCUGGCGGCAGGCCUAACACAUGCAAGUCGAACGAAGUCUUCGGACUUAGUGGCGGACGGGUGAGUAACACGUGGGAACGUGCCUUUAGGUUCGGAAUAACUCAGGGAAACUUGUGCUAAUACCGAAUGUGCCCUUCGGGGGAAAGAUUUAUCGCCUUUAGAGCGGCCCGCGUCUGAUUAGCUAGUUGGUGGGGUAAUGGCCCACCAAGGCUACGAUCAGUAGCUGGUCUGAGAGGAUAACCAGCCACAUUGGGACUGAGACACGGCCCAAACUCCUACGGGAGGUAGCAGUGGGGAAUCUUGCGCAAUGGGCGAAAGCCUGACGCAGCCAUGCCGCGUGGAUGAUGAAGGUCUUAGGAUUGUAAAAUCCUUUCACCGGUGAAGAUAAUGACUGUAGCCGGAGAAGAAGCCCCGGCUAACUUCGUGCCAGCAGCCGCCGUAAUAC
rnacentral:rRNA from 1 species